CAGCACCUCAAGUGGUCAGGAUGAUUAUUGGGCCUAAAGCAUCCGUAGCCGGCGCUGUAAGUUUUCGGUUAAAUCUGUACGCUCAACGUACAGGCUGCCGGGAAUACUGCAGCGCUAGGGAGUGGGAGAGGUAGACGGUACUCGGUAGGAAGGGGUAAAAUCCUUUGAUCUAUUGACGACCACCUGUGGCGAAGGCGGUCUACCAGAACACGUCCGACGGUGAGGGAUGAAAGCUGGGGGAGCAAACCGGAUUAGAGACCCGAGUAGUCC
rnacentral:rRNA from 1 species